GAUGAACGCUGGCGGCGUGCCUAAUACAUGCAAGUCGAGCGAACGGACGAGAAGCUUGCUUCUCUGAUGUUAGCGGCGGACGGGUGAGUAACACGUGGAUAACCUACCUAUAAGACUGGGAUAACUUCGGGAAACCGGGGCUAAUACCGGAUAAUAUUUUGAACCGCAUGGUUCAAAAGUGAAAGACGGUCUUGCUGUCACUUAUAGAUGGAUCCGCGCUGCAUUAGCUAGUUGGUAAGGUAACGGCUUACCAAGGCAACGAUGCAUAGCCGACCUGAGAGGGUGAUCGGCCACACUGGAACUGAGACACGGUCCAGACUCCUACGGGAGGCAGCAGUAGGGAAUCUUCCGCAAUGGGCGAAAGCCUGACGGAGCAACGCCGCGUGAGUGAUGAAGGUCUUCGGAUCGUAAAACUCUGUUAUUAGGGAAGAACAUAUGUGUAAGUAACUGUGCACAUCUUGACGGUACCUAAUCAGAAAGCCACGGCUAACUACGU
rnacentral:rRNA from 1 species